AGCCCCUUGCAUUUUGUUUGGGUUUGUUUUCAACGGGCUUGGAAAGGUUGUUGAUUUGCCAAACCUAAACAGGCU
rnacentral:pre_miRNA from 1 species